rnacentral:rRNA from 1 species
AUUGAACGCUGGCGGCAGGCCUAACACAUGCAAGUCGAACGGAGUGGCGGACGGGUGCGUGAUUACUAGGAAUCUGCCUGGCCGUGGGGGAUAAAGUCCGGAAACGGGCGCUAAUACCGCAUCCUCUCAGCCGAGCCUAGGCCGGAUUAGCUAGUGGGUGGGGUAAAGGCCUACCAAGGCGACGAUCCUUAGCUGGUCUGAGAGGAUGAUCAGACACACUGGAACUGAGACACGGUCCAGACUCCUACGGGAGGCAGCAGUGGGGAAUAUUGCACAAUGGGCGCAAGCCUGAUGCAGCCAUGCCGCGUGUAUGAAGAAGGCCUUCGGGUUGUAAAGUACUUUCAGCGGGGAGGCGUUACCCGCAGAAGAAGCACCGGCUAACUCCGUGCCAGCAGCCGCGGUAAUUC